CCUUUGGAGCGUUAAGCCAAACGAAAGUAGCCGGGCGAAUAAGCGCAAGCGAGCGAGCGGCAAAAUCGGACGCGAUGAAUUAGGAA
rnacentral:sRNA from 12 species